ensembl:lncRNA
AAUAACUCGAAGGAAGGAGUGGAUGGCAAGAAAUACAGAGAAAGCAGUGCAUAGCACAGCAAAGCAAAGCAAGGCAAAAUAGCAGCCAAAGCCACGAGAAUCAAGAAGUCAGUGAAGAGCAGGAAAGGAAUGGAGGAAUCUGUCCAGAGCUGUGCCCCUGCUUGCCACAGGAGCUGCGCGGGAGGAGAAGAAUGUGGGCCAAAAGGAAUGGAGGAAUCUGUCCAGAGCUGUGCCCCUGCUUGCCACAGGAGCUGCGCGGGAGGAGAAGAACGUGGGCCAAAAGGUAAGAGGAGCUCCUUUGGGUUCUGGGCUUGAAGCAAAGCUGAGAAGCCAUGCCCGGGAGGAGGUGUGGGUAGCUACAGGCCACCUUGCUAUCUCCCCAAGAGAUGAGGUGUGUGGGCUAGGCACCGGGCAGGAGUGCUGGCCAGAAGCAAGCAUCUCUGUGGAGGAAGGCAAAGGGCGGAGGAGGUUCAAGGGUAGCUACCGGGCAUGGCCUUGCUCAGCAAGGGGAGGAAAAGCCUGAAGGGCACGAGAAGGGGAUAGAGAAGGGCAGGCAGUAGGCGUGAAGCUGCGAGCAGAGUAGAGAGCAACUUGGCAGAGCAGCAAGCAGAGUAGGCAAGUGUUGAGGUUUGGCGUGAGUAGCAGCAAAAGCCCAGAGCAUCAAGAAGCAGGAAGUGAGGAGAAGGUAAGUGAAGGGCAGGCAAGGUAAUGGGAGGCAAAGGCAAGGG